GUAUAGUUCAGUGGUAGAGUGCAUGCUUGUCAUGCAUGAGGUCUUGGGUUCAAUCCCUAGCAC
rnacentral:tRNA from 1 species